AGUGAACGCUGGCGGUAGGCCUAACACAUGCAAGUCGAACGGCAGCACAGUAAGAGCUUGCUCUUACGGGUGGCGAGUUGCGGACGGGUGAGGAAUACAUCGGAAUCUACUUUUUCGUGGGGGAUAACGUAGGGAAACUUACGCUAAUACCGCAUACGACCUACGGGUGAAAGCAGGGGAUCUUCGGACCUUGCGCGAUUGAAUGAGCCGAUGUCGGAUUAGCUAGUUGGCGGGGUAAAGGCCCACCAAGGCGACGAUCCGUAGCUGGUCUGAGAGGAUGAUCAGCCACACUGGAACUGAGACACGGUCCAGACUCCUACGGGAGGCAGCAGUGGGGAAUAUUGGACAAUGGGCGCAAGCCUGAUCCAGCCAUACCGCGUGGGUGAAGAAGGCCUUCGGGUUGUAAAGCCCUUUUGUUGGGAAAGAAAAGCAGCAGGUUAAUAACCCGCUGUUCUGACGGUACCCAAAGAAUAAGCACCGGCUAACUUCGUG
rnacentral:rRNA from 1 species